GGGGCGCAGCAGGCGCGAAAACUCUGCAAUAAGCGAAAGCUUGACAGGGCUAUUCUGAGUGAUUUCCGCUAAGGAAAUCUUUUGGCACCUCUAAAAAUGGUGCAGAAUAAGGGGUGGGCAAGCCUGGUGUCAGCCGCCGCGGUAAUACCAGCACCCCGAGUGGUCGGGACGAUUAUUGGGCCUAAAGCAUCCGUAGCCGGUUCUACAAGUCUUCCGUUAAAUCCAUCUGCUUAACAGAUGGGCUGCGGAGGAUACUAUGGAGCUAGGAGGCGGGAGAGGCAAGCGGUACUUAGUGGGUAGGGGUAAAAUCCGUUGAUCCACUGAAGACCACCAGUGGCGAAGGCGGCUUGCCAGAACGCGCUCGACGGUGAGGGAUGAAAGCUGGGGGAGCAAACCGGAUUAGAUACCCGGGUAGUCCCAGCUGUAAACGAUGCAGACUCGGUGAUGAAUUGGCUUAUUGCUAAUUCAGUGCCGCAGGGAAGCCGUUAAGUUUGCCGCCUGGGGAGUACGGUCGCAAGACUGAAACUUAAAGGAAUUGGCGGGGGAG
rnacentral:rRNA from 1 species